GAAUUUUGGACAAUGGGCGAAAGCCUGAUCCAGCAAUGCCGCGUGCAGGAUGAAAGCCUUCGGGUUGUAAACUGCUUUUGUACGGAACGAAAAGAUUUGGGUUAAUACCCUGGAGUCCUGACGGUACCGUAUCAAUCAGCACCGGCUAACUACGUGCCAGCAGACGCGGUAAUACGUAGGGGGCAAGCGUUAAGCGGACUUACGGGGCGUAAAGCGUGCGCAGGCGGUUUUGUAAGACAGAGGUGAAAUCCCCGGGCUCAACCUGGGAACUGCCUUUGUGACUGCAAGGCUAGAGUACGGCAGAGGGGGGUGGAAUUCCGCGUGUAGCAGUGAAAUGCGUAGAUAUGCGGAGGAACACCGAUGGCGAAGGCAACCCCCUGGGCCUGUACUGACGCUCAUGCACGAAAGCGUGGGGAGCAAACA
rnacentral:rRNA from 1 species